rnacentral:rRNA from 1 species
UACAGAGGUGGCAAGCGUUGUUCGGAAUUACUGGGCGUAAAGGGCGCGUAGGCGGUUCGUUAAGUCCUGUGUGAAAUCCCCCGGCUCAACUGGGGAACUGCACAGGAAACUAGCGGGCUUGAGUUCGGGAGAGGGAAGCGGAAUUCCGGGUGUAGCGGUGAAAUGCGUGGAUAUCCGGAGGAACACCGGUGGCGAAGGCGGCUUCCUGGACCGACACUGACGCUGAGGCGCGAAAGCUAGGGGAGCAAACGGG